GGGAGGCCCUAGGAAUUGCUUUUGAUACCUAUAUCAAUUUAUAAUUUUUCAUAUGAAAUGUAGUCUCUACAUGGUUCAUCUAAAAGAUAGAUUGGUUAUUUCAUACUGAUACGCAUUUGACUCUCGUUUGUUAUGUGGUUUACUCAGUGAUAGAUUUGAUUUGUACUGAACUUGAAAACAUUAAAGAGAAUAGAUUUGUAAAUUAUUUUAAAUGACCAACACAGUGUUUUAUUUAAAUAGAAGGCUCUGCUCCAGUGAGAUUAAUAUGCUAGGCUCUAUUUUCUUGUAACCAUCACAUUUAAUAUAUGAAAGAUAAGACACAAAAAUAUUAAUUUUUCAGUCAGCAAUUUCAACAAGUUUUAAAAAUUAUAGGUAGAGGUCAUUUUGUAUUCAUUGCUUAUAUUUAAAUAUAAAUCAACUAUUAAAACCAUUCUGGAGCCUUUUUUUCCCCCAACCAAAAAUGGCUUAUCUACAGACUCUAUUUUUCCUUUUAGUAUGAUGAAAUAACUGGUACCAUACAAUUUUCAGUUUUGUGAUAUUUAGGCGAUUGUAGUAUCAACCUUCCAAAAUCAGUUUUUGUGCUGUAAAUGCCAACAGCAGCUUCUCAGUAAUGGUGUUCCUAAAGGGCACUGAAAAAGUUAAGAAAAUUGAGCAAGUUAAUUUGACAUAUUGCCCACUUUAGCUCUGGCUGAUGUGAGUUAAGUAAGAAAGCCCCAGGUUACUCAAAACACCAAGUUUUGUCUACUUUCAAAGUUAAUUUUGAAAAGCUUGUUCCACAGAACCUGUAGUACCUGUUUCUGUUUUUUCCCAUUCUGUUCCUGAGACGUUGUUAUUGGUCCUGAGAAACUUGCAGCUUUAUUUCUUUUUAAAAGGUCUUACAUGGUAAUUGGAAAUACAAAUGGAGAAGGAACUAUAACUUAAUUUUAUAAUAUUCAUUGGUGAUUUUGAUUGAAAACUGAAGCAAGAUCUAGAUAAUAAUUACAUUGUGGAAAAGUGACUUCAGCUGGAGCCAGAAGGCUUUCAUUUUCAUUUGGUAAAUAUGUUAUGAACAAUGACUUAGCAAUUUGGUGAAAUAACAUUAUAAAAUAUGGUAGUUCUUGUAGCUACCAUUGUGAAUUAUUUUUGUACCUAUUUUUAUUUUAAGAAUACUCUUUAGAGUAGAAAUAAAUACAGCCCUGUCUUGCUUCUCCAUUUUAUUUUUAAUUAUUUAAAGUGUAAGUUCUUAGGACUUAUUUCUAAUUUGUGAAGGAGGACUUUAUACAUUUUACAGGAUUUAUUAUAGUUAUAUUUUAUAAUACAAUGUAAACAAAUUUGUGAAAAAUUUAAGUGUUCAUAUAUACGUCUUCAAAUAUCUGUUUUCAAAAUUGCAUCUUUGUAGUUCUGCCUCUGCAUGUUUAGGCAUCUAAAGAAUCUGUGAAAGUAAAGUAAGUCUCAGAAAUUCAUCUAAACUUGCUAACAGGAUUCUACCUAAAUUUAUGAUUAUUAAAUUAUGGUGUGCUCUAGUUUGAUUUUCCAGUUCCAAGAUGUUAAGGAAAUUUCUUUGGUCAUUCAUUAUACAGACAUAUUGUGAGUGUUACACAUAUAAUGAAAUAUUUUUAAUAUUCAAGGUAGGAUAAAUGAGAUACAGCACCCCCAUUCAGAGAGUCCACUGUCUGUGGGAAGGUGAAUAAUUUUAAAACUGAAAAUACAGUUAUAAAGAUAAAUGAGAAUUGACCUUUGAAUUUGUUGACUUGAUAAGAGUAGUUUUGAUGGAGUAGUGAGGGCAAAAGUUUGGAGCUGGUUUAAAUGAUGCUGAGAGGAAAGAUUUUGGAAACUGCUCUUUCUAGGAGUAUUGCUGUUACAGGGAAAGAGAAUGCAUGUGGUAGCUAGAGUAGGCAUGGGAUCAAAAGACUUUUUAAAGAUGGGAAAGGGAAACAUAUGUGGGUAGAAAUGAUGUAGUAAGGAAGGAAAAACUGAUGAUGCUGAAAAGAGAAAUGCUAGAGUGAAUGUCAUGAUAAGUGGUAGGGGAAUGGUAUCUAGUUAAUAACUUUUGGAAUUAGCCUUUGCCUGGAACAUGGACCCUUCAUUAAAAGUAACAGAAGAGGAGACAAUUUAAAAUGGAAGAGUUUCAGCAUUAACAAUUAUGUUAUCUGUAGGUUUUUUGUGGAUGCCUUAAUCAGGUAGGUGAAGAUCCUUUCUAUUAUUUUUGUGGGAGUUUCAGGAAUAGAAUUUCCACUGUAAAAUAAUUUUUAUCAGAUACUUUAUAUUAAAACAAUCAUGAGUUUUCUUUUUUUUUUUUUUUGGUUUGUUAAUAUGAUGACUUACCGACAUUUUCAAAUGUUAAACCAACCUUGCAUUCCUAAGAUUAACUCUACUUGGUCAUGAUAUUUUAUCAAUUUUACCUGUUGUCAGAUUCGAUUUGUUAAUAUUCUAUUAGGAAUUUUUAUAUCUUUUUUUAAGUUUAUUAAUUUUUGGCUGAGUUGGGUCUUUGUUGCUGCACACAGGCUUUCUCUAGUUGCAGCAAGCAGGGGCUACUCUUUGUUGUGGUGCGUGGGCUUCUCAUUGUGGUGGCUUCUCUUGUUGCAGAGCAUGGGCUCUAGGACACACGGGCUCGGUAGUUGUGGCUUGCAGGCUCUAGAGUGCAGUCUUAGUAGUUGUGGCGCAAGGGCUUAGUUGCUCCGUGGCAUGUGGGAUCUUCCCAGACCAGGGCUCAAACCCGUGUCUCCUGCAUUGGCAGGUGGAUUCUUAAACACUGUGUCAUCAGCAAAGCCCUGUAUAUAUGUGUAUGAGGGAUACCGAUUUGUAGUUUUCUUUUUCUGAUUUGAUAUCAGGGAAUGCUGGCUUCAUAAAAUGAGUUGAGAAGUAUUUAUCUUUUAUUAUCUAGAAGUUUGUAUAUAAAUGAUAUUUUUCCCUUAAAGCUUUGGUAGCAUUUUCCAGUGAAGCUUGGAAUUUUCUUUGUGAUAAGAUUUCUAACAAAAUUAAUUUCCCUAAUAGAUACAUGGCUAUUCAAAGUUUCUUUUUGUUAAGUAAGCUUUUGUUUGUUUCUUUCAAGGAAUUUGUUCGUUUCAUUAAGUUGUCAAAUUUAUUGUCAUCAUCUUAUUCGUAAUAGAAACUUACUACCCUUUUUAAUACGUGUAGAAUUUGUAGUGAUGUCACCACUCUCAUUUUUGGUUUUGUUUAUUUGUAUUUUCUCUUUUUUUCCUUUUCAGUCUGGCUAGAAGUUUAUGAGUUUUAUUGAUGUUCUCAAAGAACUAGCUUUUAGUUUCAUCAGUUUCUCUAUUUUUCUGUUGCAUUGAUUUCCACUCGGAACUUUAUUAUUCCCUUUCUUCUACUUUCAGUUUCAUUUGCUCGUUUUUCUAGUUUCUUAAAGUCACUUAUGUGAAAUCCUUCUUUUCUAGUAUAGGUGUUCAUUGCUAUAAAACUCCCUGUAAAGUACUUGCCUUAGCUGCAUCCACAAAUUUUGUUAUGUUGUUUAUACAUUUUCAUUUAGUUAGAAAUACUUUAUAAUUUACCUUUUGACUUUAUGUUUGAUCUGUGGAUUAUUUAGAAGUAUGUAAUUUAGUUUCCAAAUAUUUGGGAAUUUUCCAAGUUUACUUCUGUUAUCGAUUUUUAAUGUAGUCUCAUUGUGGUCACACAUUCCUUAUAUGAUUUUAUUCCUUUCAAAUUUAUUGAAACUUGUUUUGUGUCCCAGAAUAUUAUCUACCUUGUAAAAGGUUUAUGUAUACUUAAAACGAGUAUAUAUAUUUUGCUGUUUUUGUGUGGAGUGGUCUAUGAAUCUCAAUUAGAUCAAAUUGUUUGAUACUGUUGCUUGUAUAUUUUUACUGAUCUUUCUGGCUGUUUUAGCAAGUAUUGUGAGUAAUGUUGAGAUUAACCAUAAUUGUGCAUUUGUCUGUUUCUCCUUUUCUAUCAGUUUUUACUUCAUGUACUUUGAAGCUCAAUUUCAAAUUUACAAUAUUAGAUGUAUAAACUUUUAUGAUUAUUAUAUCCUUUUGAUGAAUUGGCUGCUUUAUCCUUAUGAAAUGACUGUUUAUCUCUAGUAAUAUUUUUUUGCUCUAAAAUCUACUUGAUAUUUAGGUUUUUGGUUUUUUGUUCAGGAUUUGCAUGACCUUUUUCCAUUAUUUUACUUUACCCUUAUGUAUUUUUAUAUUUAAGGUGAUUUUUAUUGUAAACAGCAAGGAAUUAGUUCUGGGUUUCCCUUACCCACCCCGCCCACACCCCCCCAAAAUUUGGCAAAUCAUGCCUUCUAAUUAGGAUGUUUAGACCAUUUACAUUUCAUGUAAUUAUUGAUAUUUGGGGGUUCAUAUUUUAUAUUUACAUUUAUCAUCUUGCUAUUUGUUUUCUAUUUGUCCCAGAUGCUUUUGUUCCCUGUUUUUUAUUCUGCAUUCGUUUGGAUUAAUUGAAUGUUUUAGUUGAUUUCAUAUUAUGUCCUUCAUUAGUUUAUUAGAUGUAUUUCUUUCUUCUCUUUUUUUGAAAAUAAUAAUUUGAAAAAGCUUUAACUCUCAUUGUUAUUUAAUGCCAGCAUUAUUAUUCCAAAAAUGUAUCAUUAAUAAACACUUUUCUUUGGGAAUGCCAUAUCAAAAUUAAGUAUAAACUUUUUUUCCUGUUUUUGAAGUUUUCCUUUUCCUUGAUUUUUUAAAAUAUUUAUUUAUUUAUUUAUGUUUUUGGCUGCAUUGGGUCUUAGUUGUGGCAUGCGGGAUCUUUCAUUGCACACAUGGGCUCUUCGUUGCAGUUGUGGCACGUGGGUUCCAGAGCACGCAGGCUCGUUAGUUGUGCACGGGCUCUCUAGUUGUGGUGCACGGGCUCUCUAGUUGUGGCGCACGGGCUUUAGUUGCCCCACAGCAUGUGGGAUCUUAGUUCCCUGAAGAGGGAUUGAACCCGCGUGCCCUGUAUUGCCGGUUGGAUUCUUAACCACUGGACCACCAGGAAAGUCCCUUCAUUGAUUUUUUAAAAUUUAGUUUAUUGAAGUAUAGUUGAUUUACAAUAUUGUGUUAAUUUCUGCUGUACAACAAAGUGAUUCAGUUUCAUAUAUAUAUAUAUACUUUUUCAUAUUCUUUUCCAUUAUGGUUUAUUACAGGAUAUUGAAUAUAGUUCCCUGUGCUAUACAGUAGGACUUUAGGAUUCUUUUAUUUAUCCAUUCUAUGUAUAAAAACUAGCAUCUGCCAAUCCCAAACUCCCAAUCCAUCCUUCCCCAACCGCCCCCCUCCCACUUGGCAACCACAAGUCUGUUCUCUAUAUCUGUGAGUCUGUUUCUGUUUCAUAGAUAAGUUCACUUGUGUCAUAUUUUAGAUUCCACAUGUAAAUGAUAUCAUAUGGUAUUUGUCUUUCUCUUUCUGACUUACUUCACUUAGUAUGAUAAUCUCUAGGUCCAUCCAUGUUGCUACAAAUGUCAUUAUUUCAUUCUUUUUUUAUGGCUAAGAUUCCAUUUUGUGUAUAUAUAUAUAUGUAUAUAUGUGUGUAUAUAUACAUAUGUGUAUAUGUGUGUGUAUAUAUAUAUACACACAUAUAUAUAUAUAUAUAUACCACAUCUUUAUCCAUUCAUCUGUCGAUGGACAUUUAGGUUGUUUCCAUGUCUUGGCUAUUGUAAAUAGUGCUGCUAUGAACAUAUGGGUGCAUGUAUGUAGUGUAAGCAUCUUACAGAUAGAGACAAAGUUGAUUAAUUCCUAUCUCCCAGAAAUUGUAGCCUAGUGCUAGGCACAGAGCAGAGUUUCAGACUAUUUGCUGAAUGAAAUAUAAAAGUUAUUUUGAAUUAUGACAUUGAUACAGAAAAAUCAGAGUUAGAGAUAUUAAACCAAAUUUCCCCCACAGAUCCUUGAUUCAGUACAGCAGGGAGGAAAUAACAUACAACAUUCUUGGUGCAAAUAUGUUUUCUGUUUACUGUGGAAUGUGUAUUUAGUAGAAAUAAUAGUUCACUAAAUUCUAUUUAGCAAAGGUUGUAACUAAAAUGUGUUAUGUGUAAGAGUUUUCCUUCUGUAUGUGUGCACAUGAGUGUUUGCAUGUGUUUGAGGGUAUUAUUGCCUAUGGGUAUUGUUUUGGCUAUAACUUGUGUCUGAUAAGCUUCUGAGACCUAGCCUGAGAAUCUAACCAUGAUUUGGAAACCAGACUACACCUUUUUGAAAUACACCAUAUUUGCAAAUGUGUUCUUAUCUUGUAUUUACAAAAACUGACAGAUGAAUUUGGUGUUUGAAUCUGUAUAGUCUCUCUUCCUAGAAACCAUCAGAGGGACAGAUAGUUAUAUGCCUAAAUGACAUAGUUCUAAAGGCAGAAGACUUAAAUAUCUGAGAUGUCAAGAUCUCUCCUAGCACAAUGCUAGGUUCUUGCUAAAUCUUGCCUUACUAUUCUUUUAUUACAUAUGAUACUUUAGACAUGAGACUAACUACAGCCUAUUUUUAUAAAUAAAGUUUUGUUGGGACAGAGUGCUCAUUUGUUUAUGUAUUAUCUAUUGCUUUUGUGCUACAAUGAUAGAGUUGAAGAGUUGGGACAGAGACUGUAUGGCCUGAAAAACCUAAAAUAUUUAUUAUUAUCUAACCCUUUACAGGGAACUUUUGCCAACUCUGGUUUAGAGUACUAAUUACACAUAUAAUUCCAAAUCCAUGUUAGAUGGUAUAACCUAUUUAGCUUCAUGGAUGAUGAAGCUGUAACUCAGAAAGUGAUGAGGAAUUCCCAAGAUCAUAUAGAAGGGAAAUAUAAUGCAGUGGGUAAAAUGAAAGUUCAGGAGGCAGACUGCUUGAAUUUAGAUCCCAUGUCUGUCUUCAUCAUCAAGUUAUUUAACUCCUCUGUGCCUCAGUUUACUUGGUAAAAUGAGCAUAGCUGUAGUACCUGCCUUAUAGGAUUAUGAUGUAAUGCAUGUGUUUGUAAGAACUCCUUAGUAAGCAUUCAAUAAGUUAUAGCUAUUAUUAUAUGGUCUUGUGUGGCUAGCUGGUGGUAGCAUAGCCUGAGCCUAAUUCUUCAGACUUCAAGUUCAGUUCUCUUUCAAUUCUUAUAAUUUGUUCAUUCAUUUAGUCAUUCAGUAUACCUUUCUUAAAUUCCUACUGUAGAUCAGGCACUCUGUUAGGUAUGGUUCUAAUCUUUUCCCUCAUUCAAACUUUUCCAAGAGUAACAUUAUAUUUUCCUAUUUAUGUUUUCCUUAUUAGUUAUAAAAUGGCAAGAAAGAAAUAAAAGUUCUAUACAAUCCAAGAUGACACAUUUUUGUAGUUUAUUCCAUUUUCCUAUAUUUCUUUCCUGUUUUGAAAGGUUAAAUUUUUUAUACUCUAGAUGUAGCAGUAUAGACCAGAUCAAUGUAUAAGGGAUUAUCAAUGUAUUUUUGAAUUGUUUUAUCUUCAGGUAAAACAAAUGUUUCCUUUUUUUGUGACAUAAAAUUUUACUGACAUGUUUUUUGUAGCAAAAUUGACUUACCUACAUUUUUUUCCACAGAAUAUUAAAAGAGUUAUUACUUAAGUAGGUGCUGAUGUAUUUACUUAUCUGAUGAGUUUAAACAGGGUCAGGACGGUUAGCCUCACAUAAACCCUGAAUUUUCAGCACUAGCAAUAUUUUAGCUUUUAAAGUCACUUCUUUGACACACUUCCCACCCCAUAUUCUACCAUUGGCAAUAGGCCACCAUGAAAUACUGAGCACCAUGGAAAUAAUUGGACUGUCAUGUUUGCUAAUAGAGUGCUUUUGAGAUACAUUGGGGGAGACAGUUAUUAAAAUGUUGGCUGUUAACGUUUGAUCAUCUAAUCCAGGAUUUAAGCAUUUAUCUGCUCUCAUUAUAAUAUGUGUCAGCUGUUCUUUAUUGAAUAACAUUUACAUUUAGCCUUUUCCUAAAAUGCUAAAGUUCAUCCUUUUCAGAGCACCUCUAAAAUGUAAUCAUUCCUCUUACAACAUCAAAUAAAAUUAACUACAGUUUCACUGUAAAUCAUCAGAUAAUGAAAACCAAAAUGCUCCAAACCAAAAUUAUCUCCAUAACUGCCUACGUUUUUCUUAUUAUUUUCCUCAGAGAAAAAUUUUCAAAUUAGUAUUUUGCUUACCAUCAUUUUGCUAUCAAAUUAUUUUGACUUUAAAAAAAAUUCAUUAGAAUGGAUGAUGGGUACAGCAGAGACUAGUUAAUGUUCACCAAUCGGUUUCCUCUUCCUAGGUUAAGUAUAUUUCAGGUCAUUUAAUCAGCUUAACCAAUGUUAAGUGAGCAGACCAAAGCAUAAAGGGCAGGUGUGCCUUCUCUAUGAGCUCUCUUUCUCUUUGCCCCUAGAGCCUGGAUGCUUAAAUUUGUGAAGAACAAAACCUCCCUAUCAACCCUCAUUGGACUGUGACCGGAGGAAAAAAUCAACCUUGCGUUAAGUGACUGAAAUCACAUGCUUUUGUUUGUGGAAGAAAGCUGAAUCAGGGCUCAGACAUACUUGAGCAGCAUCACAGCCUUAGGCUCACCAGGAUUUCAGAAAGCCCAAUUCUCCCCAAAGAGCUAAACGCAAAAAAGAAAAAAAACAGAGGAAACAGAAGUGACAAGUUUAGAAGAGUAUACAGAAUACAUCUAAUAUCAUCACUGAAAAGACAGAAUAACUCCAAGAAAAAAGUGUCAAAAACUCUGUAAGUUUGUAUAGUGAUUUAUUGUUUUCAAGGUACCUGUAUGCAUAUUUCAUCUUUAUAACAACUCUACCACCCAAAUAUAUCUCUUUUAACAUUAUAUAUACAUAUCUCCAAUAUUUCUCAUGAAGUGAAAUGUAAUCUUUAUAUAUGGACAAAAUUGUGAUCAUAUUAUAUAGAUCAUUUAAAAUUCCUUGUUUAUUUUUAUUAAUAGUACAAUAUAAGCAGUGAUCAAUAUUUAAACUCAUACCUGCUGUACAUGGAAAUUAUUUACUUCCAUAUUAUAGGAUUGUUUGAUAAUGAAAUAAAUUUCAAACUGAUGAGUAUUUGAGAGUCUACUCUCAGACAUCAAGUAUAAGACAGUCUCUUCCUUCAAGUGCUUAUGACUGAGAGUCGUUAAAACUCAUACAACAGAAAAGGCAAGUGUACAGGUUCCUAUUUUUUAAAUCCUGAGCAAUAUCAAGAACAAUAGGUGGUAGAAAGACUCAGAGGGAGGAGGCAAUACCUUGAGCUGAUCAUGGGAGGGGCAGGAUUUUCAUCUGGAAGGGAUAGGAAUAAAGCAAAACAGCAGGGAGCACGCAGAAUGGAGCUGCAGAGGGCAUAUUGAGAGUAGCCUGAGCAGCGAGAGCCUUAAGGAGCAGUGGAGUUUCAGUAGAGCCCUCUGGCUAGAGUGGAGGUUUUGUUUAAGGAAAAAUACGGGAAGGUAAGCUUGGCCAAAUAAUUCAGACUUUCUCCUGUAGGUUGUAAGUAAUACUGAAGAUUUUUCAGCAGUAGAGUAACAUGAUGUAGUAUUUUACUUAUUCCACAAAUUUCAUUAAAUAUAUCAAUCCAUUAUAAAUGAAAUGCUAUGCUUAAAACCAUUUAUUUAAAACCAAUUUUUUUCUUUAUUCUUUUACCAUAUACCAUAUAGCUCAUAGUAGUUACCAAUAGUUCACAUCUCUAGAACUUUUUAAGCUGUGGUUUAUGCUAAUAAGGAACAUCCUUCAAAAUGACUUACUGCAGGUUUUUAAAAAAUUUCUCCUUAAAUGGUAUUUGAAAUGCAAUUGUACAGGCGAUGUGAAGAUUAAAAAGUUUGCAGUCAAAACGAAAGAACAAAUAAAACCUUCAGCAGCUCUAGAGCAAGAAUCUAUUCAAGAGAGUCUGAACACUGCUAAAUUUCUCUAAUGAAGUAAUUAUUUCAAGCUGUGUUUCUUAAGGAAUAUUAAGUAAUUAAGUUUAUGAGUCCUUAAUGAGAGCAAAUCUAAAAUAAAGCACUGUACAGAAUCCUCUGGAGUGUUGUAAAACAGCCAUAGAGAGUAGAUGAAGGAUGUAACCUUGAAAGACCACCAUCCAUACUAUUUUUUACUUGUGAGAGUCUUUAUAGUAGGUUUAAUGCUGAUUUAAAAUGCUAUAUGUCUGCAGCAUUGGCCCUGGACAAAGCUGUCACUUAGGAAAUUUGUUAUCAAUACCUCUUUCCAUCACCCUUCCACCUCUUUGCCAGUAAUUUUCCUAAGGGAACCAACUAAUUUGAUCCUAUCAGUUCUCCUUCUAAGUCACCUCUGUUCUAUAUUUCACAGUCUAGAGCUUUACCUAACUUUAACCUCUUCAUAUUUAAUCAUAUUACAUUGUGCAAUGAAGAACACUAGGACAAAAUAUCACUAAGCAUGUAUUCUAAUCUUGGAACCAUAAACAACUAACCAGGUCAUCUCAGCACCUUAAUGUUUGUGGACCUCAUUUCUUCUGGUGUAGAACGAGGGUACAUGACUUCUUGGGGUCAUCCUAGUCUAACUUUUGGUUCUAAUAUUCUGUGCCAUGUUACUGAAGCUUAGUUAAUAGUGAGGCACAGAUUGCUGAUCAAAGUUUCAAGUGGUCUCAUUCCCAGAUUCCACUGACAUUUAAAAAAAAAGAACAUUAAGUGAGAUUAUAAAACAGUAGGGGUCAUGGACAUACUAGGUACUAAAAUAUGAAUUUCCUCAGUUGUUUCUUUUUUAAAAAAAACUCGAGAGUUAUAAGUAAUGUAGAAUACUGACAGAGAUGAUAUCUUUAUUGUGCAGUCAUGGAAACUUGACCUAUUACAUAAAUACUUAUAUAUUUUUUAGUUUAACUAAAACAUUUUAAGAUAAUUUGUGAGAAUAUGAUAGUUCUGAGCUACUCUUUUUCUACAGAUAUAUCAGUGAAACAAAUCUGUAUUCUCUUUGAAUCUGGUCUAUAAUUAUAAUUAACCAGUACUUAAUGGGCAUUUGACACUUCAAAAAUGAUACCCGGGUAUUAAGCAAGAAAGACUGUCUUAAAACAGUUUGCCUUUGGGUACAGACAACAGUGAAAAACUUCUGCCAGUUAGAAUCCCUUAUAUUGAGAAUACAUUGUGACUGAGAUGUUAUUAUGUGGCCUCAUCUUAUUCCCAUUCUCCUUAAUUUCAGUUUAAAUAAAAUCUCUAAUCAACAGGAAAACCAUUUUUAGCAUAGAGGUAGGGAGGGGAGCUAAUUCUUUACUUGAAUCCUGCAAGGCAAGAUUUUAAACCAUUAGAGUAGCUUUGGCAGUAAACUGAAUUUUAAGGAUAUUGAGUGCCCAGGAAAGUAGUAGAAAAGAGCAUCCGUGUAGUCCCCUUUGCUUUUCUAAAUUUGAUGGCAAAAUUGCUAAUGCAGAUAAGGUUGGAAAAUUAAGAGAAACUAUAGUACUUAGAUUCAUAAAUUUUAUAUUAAACCAUGUUUAAUGAAAAGCAAUAUCAGUAACAAUUCAUCCUUUAAAAAUAUUGAACAUUUGAAGUUUAAUGAGAUAGAAAUUUUAAAUUUUGUACUUUGAAAGAAGGAAAACCUUUAGAGCAAUACUUUUUGUGUAUAGUUGGCAGAGAAGCAAAGUGUUGGAAAGCAAUCUGGCAACGUCUAUUAAAAUUAGAAAUACCUAUACCUAUAGACCCAGCAAUUCCUCUCCUAGGAGUUGAUUCUCACAGAAAUAAAGGUGCCCAUAUGAAAGACACUAGUACAAGGAUAUUUAUGGCAGCAUUGUUUCUAAUGAUGAAAAACUGGAAACAAAGCAGAUGCCUAUCAACAGAAGAAGGGCUAACUAAAUCACAGUGCAACUACACACUGUACCAUUAAAAUGAAUGACUUAGAGCUCUGUCAGCUAACCUAAAGGAUUUUCAUAAAGUAUUCUUGAAUGCAAAAAAACAAGAUGCACGAAAAUAUGUGUAUGAGCCUAUUUUGUUUUUAAACAAAACCUGUAUGCGUAUACAUGUAUGUGUGUGUACAUUGUUAUAUGAACACAAAGAAAAAUACAAACUACGUUGUUAGCAUCAAUGUGGUGGAGGGUGCAGGGAUUCUGAUAUGCAUGGAAGGGAAAAACAAAAAGAUGAAAAAGUCUCUAGCAGCGGAAUAAAAAAUCAAGAAACACAAAAUUCAUAGCAUCAACUCGUAUUUUUUGGCUCAAGUUUCUCUCACGGAUAUUCUUGCAAGUUUUUAAGUUAUAAAAGUUCCUGUUUUGACUGACCAAUGUUAAACCACUGAGAAUUAUCGGCCACGAUCAGUUUGGCUUGACAAAUGUUAGCCUUUGGAACAUGGUGAAAAAAAUUAGAUAAGUGAGAUAAAGGAAGGCAAUGGGAGAUCUGAGGUCAAAAUAACCAUGGUAUGACUAAAAAGAAAGGGAACCAAUAUCUUCAAGUGAAUAAGCCAGACUAAUUACAUUCAUAAUAUAUAAUUGUUUUUCAAGAGUAAAGAAGUAAUUGAUAUGUCGAUGAAAAUAAUCGAUAAACCAAUCUGUAAUAGGAAUAGAAAAGAGUUUUAUUUGAGCCAAACUGAGGACUGUAGCCCUGGAGACACAGAUUCAAGAAGCACCUGAAUUGUGUUCCACCAGACUACAAAAUGGGGGAGUCUUAUAAAGGCAAAACCCACAAAAUUACAUAAAUUGUGUGUCAAGAAUUAAGAUUGGAUCUGGCAAGAAUUAAGAGUGCAUGUUAAGCAAUGAUUGGUCGGGGUUUGAAAUGGUUAUGUAGUUCCUAGGGGAGAACUUGAGACCAUAAUGUUGCAGCUGGCAGCUAUACUAGCAGAUAUUAUUUUGAGAAUGGCUGGUGGUGUCCUUGAGUAUGAUGUAGUUCAGAAAGUUCAGAUUCUCAGUGAUACAGGAAUAUGUCUCAAAUCACAUCCACAAUGGCCACCUAGAUCCAUUUUGAAUGCCUGAACCACAGUUACUCCAUUUUGAUUUUUAAAUGCAUUGUUUUAUUUAAUGGUUAAAGCAGAUGUACAAUGAAUGUUUAAUAAGCCACAAAACAGGCUGUUCUAAUAAGCAUAAAUUUUAAGUUAUAUCAUGUAUAAGCCAGAAUAACUUCCCUAUGCCUCAAUAUGUGAAAACUUCUUCUAUCAGAUACUAAAAUAGUUUUAGUCACUGAGAAAAUAAUAUAGUUAGCAGGCUACUCAAAUGGAAGACUUCCAAACACCUUGAGUAGACAAUGGUAAUGAUAACUAUUUAAUUUACCUUAGAGGGACCAUUCAUUUCAGGAAAUCUGCAUCAUCUUAGCAGGUCACUGGAAUUCUCUGUGCGUAAGAUUCACUAGGCAGUUUGAAGAAACAGUGAAGGAAAGACUAAAACUGAUGAUCAUGUGUGCAAAUAUCAGGAUUAAGGGUCUUGGGUAAUAAAGUUUGGCCAAGACCAGGGCAAAGUACUCUACACGGCUCAAGCCUGGUUCUUGAGGCAUGUGACAUAACUUCCUAAAAGAAUAUAGCUACUUGGGGUGGAAAAAAGAGUUUCAUCACUUAGAAAUCCAAUUGCCUAAGGUGACUGAAAUCAGUGUCACAUUGAGAGAAAUUUCUCUGUUGGAGUGGAAGGAGCUAUGGUUCCCAGGGCAUGAGUUGGAGAAGGAUGGUAGCACCUACAACAAUGAACAAUUAGGAACAACUGGAGAGGAGUCAUAAACUACUACAGCGGUAAUGGCUGAGGUGGGGGAGUAGAAGGUUAGGAGCAAUAGUGAAUUGAUAUUGGGGGCUGAGAUAAUAUGAACCCUCGGAAAAGGUUGUUGAUGAGGAUUUUCUCCUGAUUUUUCCAGUCUCAUUUAAGGAGUGAGUGGAGUUGAAAUUUCUCUAACGGUGGGUCUGGAGCUGAGUGCUUCCAGGAUUGCAAUUCAGGUCAGUGAUUUUCCUUAUGGCUAGUGUAUAAUAGAAGUAAUAUUUCUGCAUUUGUUUAUUUGUUUAACAAAUAUGUAUUAAGAUUGUCCACUGGCAGAUUUUACUUUGUGCAAGUAUGAACCAAGCAGGUAGACUGACUAUGCAUUAACACCUGGCCCCCAACCCAGGAGCCCUAGCUCUUCCUGAGUACAAUGUUCCAGUUGCCUAACUUGCCCUCCAUACCUGAUGACUGGAUCAGGAAUAGCUUUUUCGAUGAAUCCAUCUUUCUCUGUAUCUGAGAUUUACCUACAACCCUGGCUUAUCUCUCAAUAGUCCCUUCUUUUCAUCUUGCAGAAAUCAUCUUGAUCCUUUGGUUUUCUGAUAUUCCCAAAUCCAAUCCACAAAACUGUUACGGACUAAAUUUUUUUUUUUUUUACCCAUUUGCUAUUAUUUUGAUGCGAUUUUGGAGGGAGGGAUAAUAAAUAUGACAGGAAGAUACCUUAUAUUGGUAACAGAAUAGAUGGUGGUCCAGUGUAGAGCAGAGGCAGAAACGGAGGUGAGGAGAUUAAAUAGGCUACUUCAGUAGUCCAAGCCAAAAGAUUUUGCUUUUCUGUUUUUUUAUUUGAAAUAAAAAGUUUUUAUUUUAAUAUAUCAAAGGAAAAUUGGAAUUGGAAAAAGUAAAACGGUAAAAAAAAGUUACAAAGAGUAACUUAAUACCUUAUCAAAACCUUAACAGUGAGUCAUUAUUUCAGAAUUUUUAUCACUGGAUUUAAUCAUUUUUUAUAUCAGAUAUAAAACAGAUAUCAUCUGUUCUCAGUUGAAAAUGUUACUGCUGAUGCUAUGCUUUUAUUAGCAUAUUAAAUAUUUUAAAUAUAUUUUUGAUAUCUAAGUUUAUAUAAUUAUCUCAAACAUCUAUUUUGAUAAGACUGUCUUUGGCAGUUACAUAAGUGCUGCAGUCACACCAGAUAGACUCAUAUUCAUGCAAUUAACAAAAAGGAAUACCUUUUUUUAAUAAAGGUGCACCAACCAACAAAAUUUAAGAGGAAAGCAAAAAGUAAGCUGAAAAUUUCAGAAGUUGAGCCUGGAAAAAUGGAAGUUCAAUAGGGCAUGGCUGGAAACACAGUCAAAGGCUUCAUAUUCAAUCAAAACCUGAACUCUGCCUAUAACUGCCCCUACAAGUGUGUGCCUAUUUCUUUUGGCUGUUUAGUCCAAUUUCAUUAUACUCACCAUAGGUGUUUGAAGAAAACAGAAAAGCCGAAACUAAUGAGUGUGUGUAGAGUUGUAAAUCUGUAUAAUGGCCAGAAGCUAUUGCUAUGUUGUUUUCUGUAGUGGCUCAGAUCACUUUUCCUCUGCUUGAAAUAAUUACUGUCAUUAGUGAUGCACGUUCCUGAAUUUAAUAUAUCUAGGUUUAUGCUGUCAUCCAUCACUGUGCAAACAUCUUCUAUCUUCUCUACUAUCAUGAAAAGUUUCUUUAAGUUUUAAGAUAUUUCACGGACCCAGUGAUGCGUUUUAACUAUGAGAAAUCACCGAGCAAAAAUUCUACCUCUCUAAGUUUUAUGUAUAUUAUGGUAGUUAUAUUAGUAUUUUUUUUUUGCCAAAACUUGAGAACAGUGGAUGCUAAUAAGCUCCACACAACACAUCAUCAUUCUCUCGUGUCAUAUGAUCUUAUAACACAAUAAAUUGUUACCACUUAAUAAAGGCCUUGGUUUGAUAAUUUUCUAGUCUUCUUAAAAGGGAGACUUUUACAUAACUUUGUUACAUAGCUCUGUUCAGGAUUUGGCCGUCAUCUUUUUCUGUUGUUCAAGUAUAAGCAAGAUGAUUUCCCUGUACUCAGUAGUGAAGUGUGGGCAAGGAGACACUCCUAGCUUCACGGCUCUCUCCGGCUUCCUCUCCUGUGGUUAUUCUGAGGUGUUCAAAAGUAUGACCUUUCUGAGAUGUGUCUCCUCUCCUUCCCCAUUUUCUGUAACGUCCCUUUUCUUAGCCAUUUUGUCUCUGUCUUGCUCAAUUUAGAUUCUCUGAGUAAGCUCUCCUGUUUGUAGGGCUUUGUCCUAGAAGAGAGCUUCACUUGGCUAAUUUCGAAAGUUCUUACAACCCAUAUCACUCCGCCACCACCUGAAUUUAAUGUUGUGUUCCCCUGGCUCUUACCCAUUAGCUCUACUGUAGAUUUGUCUGCUCCUCUCAGAUCAGUCAGCUGAGCUUUCUCUGUGGAGGAGAGACACUGCUUUAGAAGUGAAUACAUGCUAACAAUUUAGUUUCUGGGAUUCUUAGAAGUCUUUUUGCUUUACCUUUGUUUUUUUUUGGGCAUUUCACUAAUACCACACUUGUCUUGCUGUAGCUGUUUUGCUGCAUCUACUUAUAUUUUGGAGUCUGUGGUGAUAACAUGAUAACAAGUCAUUUAGUUUGUUGUAUUUAGCUUUUGUUUGUGGAUUUUUUUCUUUGCUAUCUUAUUUACUUGGAUUCUGAGGAGGUUUGGGAAUUUACCCAACGAGGCUGCCCACUAUAGCUUUCAGUCUUGCUCCAACUUCCCUUUUUAUUUCUUCCUGACGUUGUUUUGCUAAAUAAUAUUUUUCUACGAAUUUGUCCUUUUUGGGUUUUUUUGCGGUACUCGGGCCUCUCACUGUUGUGGACUCUCCCGUUGCAGAGCACAGGCUCCGGACACACAGGCUCAGCGGCCAUGGCUCACGGGCCCAGCCGAUCCGUGGCAUGUGGGAUCUUCCCAGACUGGGGCACGAACCUGUGUCCCCUGCAUCGGCAGGCGGACUCUCAACAACUGCACCACCAGGGAAGCCCUGCCCAUUUUUUAUUUCAUUUUAUUGAGAAAUAUAACACACAUACAGAAAAGUGCACAAAACAAAAUGUACAGCUUAUGAGUUUUCAUAAAGAGAAACUCCAGGUAACCAUAACCCAGCUCAAGAAAUAAAAUUAGUAUUUUCUAAUUUCCAUUUGCCUUCCUCUGACCCUUGAAUUAAUUAGAACUGUGCUAUUUAAUUUCCAAAUAUUUGGGGAUUUUUCCAGAUAUUUUACAGUUAUUAGUUUCUAGUUUAAUUUCAUUAUGAUCAGAGAACAUCUUUUAUGUUAAUCAUUUAAAAUCUGUUAAGCCUUUUUAAAGGCCUAGUAUAUGGACUAUUUGGUGAUUGUUUCAUGUACAAUUUUUAAGAUUGUAUACUCUGAUGCUGCUGGAUGAGGUAUCCUGUAAAUAUUAAUUAGGUCAAUUUGGUUCAUAGUCUUGUUUAGGUCUUUAUAUACUAUCUGAUUUUCUAUCUACUUGUUUUAUGAAUUACUGAGCUAGAAUGAUAAAAUCUACAACUAUACUUCUACAUUGCCUAUUUCUGCUUUUAAUUCUAUCAUGAAUUUUGAAGCUCUGUUGUUAGAUGCAUACACAUUUAGGAUUUUUAUGUCUUUUUGGUGAACUAGCCCCAUUAUAUAUAUGAAAUAUCCUGCUUUAUCCCUGAUAACAUUCUUUGUUCUCACGUCUACCUUGCCUUUUACUAGUAUAGAAAUACCAGCUCCCUUUAGAUUAGUUUUGCAUGGUAUAUCUUAUUCUCUCUUUUUACUUUUAACCUAUCUGUGUCUUUGUAUUUAAUGGGAGGUUUUAGUAGACAGCAUGUAGGUGAGUCCUGCUUUCGAUCCAAACUUUCUUUCAGUUGGUGGUUAGCUCUUUUAUAUUUAAUCUAAUUAUUGAUAUAAUCAGAUGAAAACCUACCAUCUUGCUAGUUUUUUCUAUUCUAUUCUUUAACUUACCUGUUUUUCUGCCUAUUUUUGGUUAAUUGAAUAUUUUUCAUGUUUUAUUUAUCUCCACUAUUGUCACAUUAUUAGUUAUUUACAUAGCAGUAUAUAUAGUUAUAUAUAUAUAUACAUAUAUAACUAUCAAUAUAUAACUAUUGUCAUAUUAGUUUUAUAUAUAUCAGUAUAUAUACAUAUAUAACUAUAUUAUAUAUAACUAUAUAUAUAGUAGUUUUAUGUAUCUUUUACUUUAAUCACAACCUACCUUCCAAUAAUAUACUGCUUCACAUAUAGUAUAAGAAUUUAUGACCAUAUAUUCCCAAUUCCUCCCAUCCUUCUUAGAAUGUUGCCACACAUUUUACUACAUUGCUACUACUUUUGCUAUUGGUAGUCAAGUACUGUUUUUGGUCUUCUGGCUAGGAGUCUGGGGUUUAACUAACAAUCCCCUCCAGUGGGUAAUUUCACAACUGUGUUCACAUCUAGGGCCAAGUGAUUGAUCGAGGGAGGACAGAGAGAGAAAAUACACAAUGGGGUUUGGCUCCAUUUUCUUGGAACCCCAGCUUCACCAACUGGACAGGAAGUUACCUAUUAUCAAAUUUUGUUUCCUAUGAAUUCUCUUUACCAGUCACUGACACCAACACCAUCACCAUGGUAGUGCUUGGGGGCUGAAAUACCAAACAACGGUUGAGAUAAAAGAGAAAAAAAAACAGAACAAAACAGUGCUGUGCUCUGUCUCUGAGCAUUAGGAGUUCCUUUUCCAGCUCCUUGAGCCAGAACCAGAGAGAUUCUCAACAGGUGCCCAUUUUGGGGGUUGUCAGUGCUUUGAGUUCAAGUCAGGGAAUACUGGAAGAACAAAAUGUCAAACUCACUGACAAUUCAGUAGCACUUUUAAUUUUGGUCUUCUUCUGCAAUCCUCCUCUGAUAUUUAAUUUUAUGUGUCUUGCUGUUCCACAUAGUCUACCAACCUUUUAUAGCUGUAUUCAUUGAGAGAGACAGAGUGGAGUGUGCUUAAUUUACUUAACCCCAAAACUGGAAUUGUAUAUUAAGGUUUUAAUUUUUAUUUCUCUGUUUACUGUUGAGGUUGGAAAACUUCUCAUGUAUUUACUGGCUGUGUGUAUAUUUUUGUUUGUAAAUUGUGUGUUAAAGCCUCUUGCCCUUUUUUUUGUUUACAACUGGGUUGCAUAUCUUAUUAUUGAUUUAUAGAAAUUGUUUUGCUCUAAAGUGACAUUUUCAUAAAUUAUCAAGUGCUCUGUAUGUUUAUGGUCUGUUCCUGGGCUCCCUAUUUGCUUCUUGAAUAUUUGCCCAUUUUUGCACCAAUACCACAGUGAUUUAGUUAUUAUACUUUAAUAAGUUUGAUAUGGGGCUUCCCUGGUGGCGCAGUGGUUGAGAGUCCGCCUGCCGAUGCAGGGUACGCGGGUUCGUGCCCAGGUCCGGGAAGAUCCCACAUGCCACGGAGUGGCUAGGCUCGUAAGCCAUGGCCGCUGAGCCUGCGCGUCCGGAGCCUGUGCUCUGCAACGGGAGAGGCCACAACAGUGAGGGGCCAGCACCGCAAAAAAUAAAAUAAAAUAAAAUAAAAUACGGCAUUGUUUCUCAUCAUCAAAAAAAAAAAAGUGUGAUAUGGAGUAGAGCAAGUAAUUUUAUCUGACUUUGUUCUUCAAGCGUUUCUUGGAUAUUUUUAGUUCUUUGCAUUACAUACAAAUUUCAGGAUCAACUUACCAGUUCUAUCCCAGUCCCAACAUGAAAAUCCGAUAAGGUUGUGUUUGGCAUUGCACUGAAUGGAUAGAUCAAUCUGGGGGGAAGAGACAUAUUCAUAAUAUUGAAUCUUCUAAUCCCUUCAUUUCUUUAGGAGUUUUUUCUCUUAAUCUCAAUAGUUUUUAUAAAUUUCUGCAUCAAGAUUUCACACAACUUUUGAUCUGUUUAUUUCUAGGUAUUUAAUAGUUUCACAUUACCCGAAAUCUUUUUUGAAUUUAGUUUUCUGUUUCCUGCCAGUAUGUAAAAAUGCAAAUGAUUUGUGCAAAACAAUCUUCUAUCCAGCAAUCUAUCCUAAUAAUUUAUCUGUGUAUUUGGGGGGGGUGAUUUCCUUUAUACACAAUCAUCUUUGAUAUGAUUAGAACUGAAAUUUCAUUUUUAACUUUCCAAUCUUCAGACUUUUUAUUUAUUUUCUUUUUACACUCUUGCUAGGAUAUCUAGUAUAAUUUGCUAGAGCACCUAGUAUCAUGCUGAAUAAAACAUGCAACAGUGGAGAUCCUUGUCUUGCUUCAGAUUAUAAAAGUAAAUCUUUUAAAUGUUCACUAUUUAGUAUAAUAUUUACAGUAGGAUUUUAUAGAUAUAUUUUUUUUCAGUUUAAAAGAAGUUCAUGUUUUCCCCUAGUGGGCAAUUUUUUUUAAAAAUCAUGAAUAAGGUUUAAUUUUAUUAAGUUCUACUUCAUCAAUUGAUGGAUUUUUUUCCCCUAAUACUGUAAAUCUGGAGAACUACUUUGUUUUAUUUUUUAAUAUUAAACCAUUCUUGAAUUCCUGGAAUAAAUCCUACUGGGCAUACAUAUUAUUCUUUCAAUAAAUAUAUGUACUUGGUUUGCCAAAAUAUUGUUUGUGAUUUUGCAUUUAUAUUUAUGUGAAAGAUUGGUCAGGACUUUUUCUUUCUUAUAAUGUGUUUUUUCAGUUUUGAAUUAAGAUUGUUAGAUUAUUCUGGAUUAAUUAAAUAACUGAAACUUAUUUUUAUCUGUUUUUUGGAAGUGUACAAAAUUGAAAUGCUCUUUCCCUGAAAAUUUGGUAAAAUUUGCCUCUGUAAUUGUUAGGUGGUUUCUUUGGGGAAAUUUUGUAAUGACUGCUUUCUAUUAUUUCUUUUGUAAGUUGUUAAGUUAUAUUUUAAAGAGAUAUAUCCAUUUUACUAAGCAUUUAACUGUACUAGCAUAGUUAGUAGUUUUCUCUUAUUUAAAAAAGAAUAUUCUUCUGUUUCUAUAGUUAUCUCUCUUUUUGCAUUAAAAUGCUAUCUGUGCCUCCUCUCUCUUCUCUUUUUUUUUUUUAUAAGAUUUUACCAGAUGUUUGUCUAGUGUAUUAUCCUUUUCAAAGAACCAACUUUUGACUUUGUUGAUCAUCUGCAAUGUGUCUUUGUUUUCAAUUUUUUAAAAAAUGCUGCUCUUCUGGGCAUGGAGUAUAUAGGGAUUCUCUGUAUUAUCUUUGUGGUUUUUCUGUAAAUCUAAACCUGUUCUAAAAUAUAAAAAAAAAAAAAAAUUCUGCUCUUAACUAUAUUGUUUCUUUCCUUCUCUUUUAUUCAGAUUUAUGCUUUUUUUAUUUUAUUAAGUUAUAAGUGAGAUACUUAGUUUGUUAAUUUUCAGAAUUUCUUAUUUAAAAUGUACAUUUAAGGAUAAAACUUUCCCCUGUAGGUCUGCUAUCACUGUACCUUUAAAGAUGUGGUAUGUUAGUAUUUCAUUAUCGUUUAUUUCUGUGGAUUUUUAAAUUUACAUUAUAAUAGUUUGAUUACUGAGUUUUUAAGUUUUUAUAAUCUUAAAUAUACAUAGAGCUUUUAAAAACUUACCUUGUUAUUAACUUCCACUUCAAUUGUUGUCACUAGAGAAUGUGAUUCAUACUUGUGAAUGUGUGUGUAUAAAAUUAUGCUUGUUAGUAGUUUACAAAUAUAUUUUUAAUCUCCUUAUAUAUCUUCUUAGGACACAUCAGUAAUUUAGAGCUAUGUUGAAAUCACCCACCAUGAUGGUAGAUUUGUUAAUUUCUUCCUAUAAUUCAAUUUUUGCUUAUUAUAUUUUGAGGGUAUUUUAUUUUAUGCCUGCAUAUUUAAAAAGUUUUAUAUAUUCUCAGUGAAUUAAAUAUUUUAGUAUUAUUUAGAGACUCUAAUGAAGUUUUUUGAUCUAAAGUUGUUUUCUCUUAUGUUAGUAGGGCAGCAUGAUUUGUUCAUUUGUUCCUGAUACAUACUUUUCCAUUUUUUAACUUUCAACUUUUGUAUAAUCUAUGUUUUAGAUGUAUCUUUUAUAAAGAGCAUGUAGCUAGAUUUUUUAAAAUACCAUCUGACAGCAUGAGCUUUUUAAUUAAAUCAGUGUAAACUGACAAUGAUUAUGUAUUUGCAUAUUUGUAAUCUUACAUUUUUAUUUUAAUUUAUCCCAUUCUUCCUGUUUUUUCUACUUUUUUGCCUAUUUAAAAAUUAAUAUUUAUAUCUCUUUUAACAAAGCAGUUUAUUAUUUUCUAAGUGUGUCUAGUUCUUCCUUAUCCUCUCCCAAAUGCUCAUGAAUUUAUAUUAAGUAGGAUUUUCCUUGGGGCUCUAUCUCAGCCUUGGUGGUAGUAGCUAUUCCUUAUUUUUGGCAUUCCUAUAUUAUUUAGUAUUCUCUUUGCUUCCACUAGCCAAUCCUUUGUUAUCCCAAUCCCCUAUUACAAUGAAUAAUUCUUGUCUCACCCUAUUCAAAUUACUAUGUGGUUGGACCCUGAACAGCUCAUGCAGCUCAAUAUCAAAAAAAACAGACAACCCAAUCAAAAAAUGGGUAGAAGACCUAAAUAGACAUUUCUCCAAAGAAGACAUACAGAUAGACAGGAGGGACAUGAAAAGAUGCUCAACAUUGCUAAUUAUUAGAGAAAGCAAAUCACAGCUACAAUGCGAUAUCACCUCACACCAGUCAGAAUAGCCAUCAUCAAAAAUUCUACAAACAAUAAAUACUGGAGAGGGUGUGGAACAAAGGGAACCCUCCUACGCUGCUGGCGGGAAUGUAAAUUGGUACAGCCACUGUGGAGACAGUAUGGAGGUUCCUUAAAAAACUAAAAAUAGAGCUACCAUAUGAUCCAGCAGUCCCACUCCUGGGCAUAUAUCUGGAGAAAACCAUGGUUUGAAAGAAUACAUGUACCCCAGUGUUCACUGCAGUGCUGUUUACAAUAGCCAAGGCAUGGCAGCAACCUAAAUGUCCAUCAACUGAUGAAUGGAUAAAGAAGAGUGGUACAUAUGUACAAUGGACUAUUAGUCAUUAAAAAGAAUGCAGUAAUGCCAUUUGCAGCAACGUGGAUGAACCUGGAGAUUAUCAUACUAAGUGAAGUAAGUCAUACAGAGAAAGAAAUAUCAUAUGAUACUGCUUAUAUGCAGAAUCUAAAAAAAAAAAAAAGACA